AACGAACGCUGGCGGCGGGCUUAACACAUGCAAGUCGAACGCAUCGCAAGAUGAGUGGCAGACGGGUGAGUAACGCGUGGGAACAUACCCUUUUCUACGGAAUAGCUCUGGGAAACUGGAAUUAAUACCGUAUACGCCCUACGGGGGAAAGAUUUAUCGGGGAAGGAUUGGCCCGCGUUGGAUUAGCUAGUUGGUGGAGUAAAGGCCUACCAAGGCGACGAUCCAUAGCUGGUCUGAGAGGAUGAUCAGCCACAUUGGGACUGAGACACGGCCCAAACUCCUACGGGAGGCAGCAGUGGGGAAUAUUGGACAAUGGGCGCAAGCCUGAUCCAGCCAUGCCGCGUGAGUGAUGAAGGUCUUAGGAUUGUAAAAUUCUUUUACCAGGGACGAUAAUGACGGUACCUGGAGAAAAAGCCCCGGCUAACUUCGUGCCAGCCGCCGCAGUAACAC
rnacentral:rRNA from 1 species